rnacentral:rRNA from 1 species
GACGAACGCUGGCGGCGUGCCUAAUACAUGCAAGUCGAGCGGACGGAUGGGAGCUUGCUCCCAGACCGUCAGCGGCGGACGGGUGAGUAACACGUGGGCAACCUGCCUGUAAGACUGGGAUAACUCCGGGAAACCGGGGCUAAUACCGGAUAACUCUUUCCCUCACAUGAGGGAAAGCUGAAAGAUGGCAUCUCGCUAUCACUUACAGAUGGGCCCGCGGCGCAUUAGCUAGUUGGUGAGGUAACGGCUCACCAAGGCGACGAUGCGUAGCCGACCUGAGAGGGUGACCGGCCACACUGGGACUGAGACACGGCCCAGACUCCUACGGGAGGCAGCAGUAGGGAAUCUUCCGCAAUGGACGAAAGUCUGACGGAGCAACGCCGCGUGAGUGAUGAAGGUUUUCGGAUCGUAAAACUCUGUUGUCAGGGAAGAACAAGUACCGGAGUAACUGCCGGUACCUUGACGGUACCUGACCAGAAAGCCACGGCUAACUACGUG